AUGGCAGAAUAGUGCAUUGGACUUAAACCCCAAUUAUAAAAGAAUUUCUUUUUUUUAGAA
rnacentral:tRNA from 1 species